GUUGCUCUCUCUCUCUCUUUCUUUCUUUUUCGCCGAACGGUCUCUCAUCUUCUCACCUAAAUCUCAUCGAAAAAAAUCUUGAGUUUGUUCUGUUCUGGAUACUUUUGUGUUUCUCCAAAAGAGUUUCAAGUUUGUUUCUCAGAUGGUUUAAGAUAGAAGAUCGGCCAUGUUUCCUAUAUCGACAGCUGAAAAAUGACCAAAUCAGAUUGUAUAUGUGAUAAAGAUUAGAAGACUCGGCAGCAAGAAGCAAAGCUUUAUCAGAAAUUAAUGGAAUGGCAAGUUGAAUAUUUCAAUUAAGAAAGAUUAGAGCAAAUUCUUCUGAUUUAUUGUGUUUUUAUUUCAUAAUUUUUAAUCUUGAUUUUGUUAUCUUGAUUUUCAAUCAUUGUCACCGUUUCUGAUCUGUAGCUAAUAUGUGUUAUAUUGUUUUAGAUAUCUUUUACAGUCUCAUGUAAAACAAUCUUGCUAACAGUGAUUAUAUUUUUUUUUGUAUGCUUUGAGUUCAUGGACUGGCUAUAGCUAAUGGAGAGCCGAUAAGGAUACCCAAAAGAAGUAUUCUUCGGUGAUUGUUUACUGGUGGGUCACAGGGCACAAUACAUAUGCUAAACGUCAAAACAAAGUCAAGUGAACAAAAGUGGCACAGUUUUCCCUGUCAAAGAGAGGUUAUGGAUUUGUGCAAUCAGCAACGAUUAUAUGAGUUGGGAAGAGGAUGUGGACGACCGACAUAGCGCCAAACGUCUCUGGGGCCAAUACGUCUC